GUGCUCACUUUGGCAGCAUAGAUACUAAAAUGGGAAUAACCCAAAGAAAAUGAGACCAGCUUCUCUGCAAGAAUGACAUGAACAUUGUUGAAGUGUCCCAUAUUUUU